AUGGCGAGUCAGUCGCAGGGCAUCCAGCAGCUACUGCAGGCCGAGAAGCGGGCCGCCGAGAAGGUGUCCGAGGCCCGCAAGCGAAAGAACCAGAGGCUGAAGCAGGCCAAAGAAGAAGCCCAGGCUGAAAUUGAACAGUACCGCCUGCAGAGGGAGAAGGAGUUCAAGGCCAAGGAAGCUGAGGCAUUGGGCUCCCAUGGCAGCUGCAGCAGUGAGGUGGAAAAGGAGACCCGGGAGAAGAUGACCGUCCUCCAGAACUACUUCGAGCAGAACAGGGAUGAAGUCCUGGAUAACCUCUUGGCCUUUGUGUGUGACAUCCGGCCGGAAAUCCAUGAAAACUACCGCAUAAACGGAUAG
rnacentral:lncRNA from 1 species